CUGCGCCACAAGUGGCAAUCAGUAUUAUUGGGCCUAAAGCGUUCGUAGCCGGAUUAAUAAGUUCUCUGUGAAAUCAUCGAGCUUAACUCGAUGGCGUGCGGAGAAUACUGUUAGUCUAGGAACCGGGAAGAGUAAGAAGUAUUCUGGGGGGAGCGGUAAAAUGGUAUAAUCCCCAGAGGACUACCGAUGGCGAAGGCAUCUGACCAGAACAGAUCCGACGGUGAGGGACGAAAGCCAGGGGAGCAAACCGGAUUAGAUACCCGAGUAGUCC
rnacentral:rRNA from 1 species